rnacentral:lncRNA from 1 species
UGUAGUACUCUUCCCCUUUUCCUAUGGAUGCAGCUUCCUGUGAGCUGAGCUGCAGUGAUUGUUAUCUCUCUUCUGAGUCUAGCCAUGCAGCAAGUCUACCCGGCUCCAGGCUGGUACUUCAGGUUGUCUUCACAGAGUCCUGCGAUGUGAACCGUCUAUAAGUCUCUCAGCCAUAGAUUCCAGCACAGUAUUUGGGUGUCUCCUGGGUCCUGCAGGAGCAGUCCACUUUCUUCAGAUGUUCUGUGGGUCCUCUCUGGAUUUCUGGUUUGUUCUCGCAGUCGUUCUGGAGCAAAAUUCAUGAUGAGAGCCUCUGCAUGCUGCUCUGAGUCGGAGCUGCAAUUUAGUCCUACCUCCCGUGUGCCAUCUAUUUUCACUGCAAUUUAUUAAGAUGAAAUUUUAUGUAAGUCAUAGGAGAUUGCAAACUGGGUUAUGACUGUUGAGUGUUUAAUACUCAUAGUAUUUGUGGAAGAUAAUGCUUCUUCUAUGCUUGUAAAUUUGUAAUAGCAUAAUGGAAGUUAUCCAUUAAAUGUUGCUAGUCUACACAACAUGUAUCUGGAAUGUGCUUUCCUUCAGCAUUCUAUGAUAUUAUAGUUGGGGGAGAGAGAAAGUGGACAGAAGGGCAUCAAUGAAGAUGCUUGACUGCAUCAAAAGCAAAUGUUUUUCCCUCCAGUUCUUUUCGUUUUGUAAUGCUGCAUCUCAUUUUAUGUUUCACUGUUGUCUGAAGAGGGGGCAAAAAUCAUCAACUGAGAAAACAACUGAAAAAAAUUCUUACGGGGAAUUUUUUUAUUUCAAAAAUUGGUUUCCUUACUAACAAACUUUAGGUAAUUUAGCUUAAACUGGGCUUAAACUUCAGGGGACCUAAAGGCAUUAAUCUUUUCUCCUUAAACACAGUACAAAAAGAGUUUCAAUACUAGAUGACCCAGAGGAAAGGUAUUAUAUUACCCAAACCUGCAAGUAUUAUCAUACUUUUCAGUCAUUGAGACAGUUCUUUCUUUGGUAUUUUUUAAGUUAAGCCAUCAUAUUAGAAAAAAAUUUAAAACAGAAUAGAAGAAGUACUAUUGCCCAAAAGAUCUCGCAGAGCUGACCCUUCUCCCAUUCCCCACUUCUCUCCAGAGGCAACACCUGUGAGCAGUUUCUUUUCUAGAAAUUGACCUGCAGGUACAAUCUCAUAUGUGUGACUAUGUUCCUACACACAUACUUAUAUACAACGUUAACCUAAAGGCCAACUGACUCCACAGAAAUUCACAUUUCUUUCAUUUCAUACAGUCUCACAUUUUCCUAUUCCAAAUAUCUAUUAUAGGUUGUUAGGAAAAGUGACCAAAUUAGUAAUCAUUGUCACAGUUUCAAAAAGGGCUAAGGAGUGACUUGGCAAAAUGACUUAUAAUCUCAUAAAAAUAAUUAAGCAAUAAUAACUGAAAGGUCAUAGAACAAGAGUUUUAUGUUUUAAUUCUACUCCUCCUUUGUUGCCACUGCAUGACAGAAUCUUUGGACUUUGAGCCUUGGCAGAGUUGGACUGCUGCAGAAACCACCACAGUCUGGCAUGAAUUAAGUCCCACUGCAGAGGUGAACUGGAGCCAAGAUUUCAAUCUCCAAAUGAUUACUACUGGGGGAAAAAGGCUCUGGGCCAUGCUGACAAUGAAUAUCAGCUGCUUUGGGUAACUGGGACUGUUUGCACUCCUCUCCCCGCAGCCGAAAAAACCAAAUUGUGGUUCUUAUAGUACUGACUGGAUUAUUUGUGCUACAUUGCUUCCCCACUGUCUUCACAUCAUAGAACAUGUCGAAAAAAAUUAUUGCAUUUGUAGGGCACCCGCAGUAAACCCAGGAGGCAACUUAUAGGCAGAAUUCACCAUCCUGGAAGCUCUAGUUGAAUCGUGUCCCAGUUCCUUUCAAGGGCUGAAGUCAUCAAGAACAAGGAAAGUCUGAGAAAGUGUCACCGCCAAGAAGAGAUAGGAGAAUUAUUUGUAACGUAGUAUCCUGGAUGGGAUCCUGGAAAGAAAAAGGACACCAGGUAAAACCUAAGGAAAUCUGAAUAUAGUUAAUAAUAAUGCAUCAGUAUUGGCUCAUUAAUUGUGGCAAAUUUACCAUGCUAAUGUAAGAUGUCAAUGAAAGGGGAAACGGGUGCAGAAUAGUUGGGAACUCUGUACUAUAUUUGCAAUUUUUCUGUAAAUCUAAAACUUUUCUAAAUUAAAAAGCUUAUUUUUUUAAAAAAAGUAUACACCAUGUAGUAAAGUCCUGUCGUAUUUGUGGGAUUCUACUGUGCUGGCUAAUAUACCAUCUUCUUUAUAGAAACCUUGAACCAAACCCAUCGUUCUCUCCUCUGAAGAGCUUAGGGCACUUUAUAGACAGGGAUAUAUGUUUUUAUUGUUUCUACUGAUCCAGGUGGCAACUUUUAUGAUUCCUGGGUUAUAUAGUAAUGAUAUCUGCCAUAGGGAAGGGCUUAGUAAAGGUCACCAGAAUGGCAGCAUAGCUGGGUGUGGAGCCUUGUAUGGUACUUGUUCCAGUGCCAUUCCAGGCUGGGCAGGAAAACUGGCCAGAUGAAUUCAAUUCCAUUAAAUUCAACAAAUAUUAACUAGCACCUACUAUGUAUUGUAAGCACUGGGAAGCUAUUAAGUUGGUGCAAAAGUAAUUGCAGUGCAAAACUGCAAUUACUUUUGCACCAACCUAAUAAAACUGAAAAAGAUUCUGUUUGCUGCUCAAGGACAGUGUGGUGUAAUUGGGGAGAGACAAAUGUAUCAAUAGACAAUUUCAGUACAAGAAGUUAUGUAUCACGACAGAUGUGUAAAAGGUGUUGAGGGAGCUUGGGAGGAAAGAUACCUCGCCAGGCAGGAGGUGAGUAUUGAGCCCUAGGAAAAAAGUCCCAGCCUGAAGUGCAGGUGAAUCCUGGUUAGGGGGAAAUGUGUUUUAGUUCUGUAGGGGCUCUGCUAUGUCUGAUUUCUUAAGCCUUGAGGGCUCUUCUGAAAGGUUUACUCAAUAGCAGUAGUGGGACUACUUUAAAGCCAAUUUUCCUGGCAGGGCAUCAAUCUUACUUUCGGGAACUCAAGUUUUGUGAGAACAUGAAAGCGCUUUGAUAUAUACGAAUAGCAAAAUCAUAGUUCAAAUAACUUGGCUUACUCUUCUGUCUCUGAGGUAUGAAUGGGGAAGGGAGAUUUGCGCCGGAUUUUGUGGACUGUAAAAUAUGCUGGCACUCCUAGGAGGGUGGUAACCGACCUGAACUUUCUGUUUAUACCUUUAGGAGUGAUUAAUCAGGACAAUGGAGAUUAAUGCUAUUUUCUUCUACCCUUUGAUAGUAAGGCAUAAGCAUUUUUUUCCUUAGGCUGUGAACCAGAUCUGGGAGACACUUCCUGGGCCCCUUUCCUCCCUGUGAGAAAUUUAAUAAUCCACAUUCUCAUUAGAUCUCUAGGUCUCAGUGUGAGGCACUGUACAAAGCCCAUUUUGCAAACAUGAGAGACUUUUUUCUUUUCAGUAGUAAGUCACUGCAUUAGAGAAGCAAUUUCCUGAUAUGGAGGUUCCAAAUAAAUUGCCUGUGCUAUCUAAAUGUUUUUCCAUGUAUUUUGAAAUUAUUUGCUCUCUUUCCAUGCCAUUCUCUGAGGGAUGAAGAGCAGCCAGCUGUUGGGUCCUCUUCUCCUUCUGCUUGCUGUCAGCACCACCUCCCCUCAUCCUAGGAGGUCCUUCUGUCAAAGGCAAAUGCCCAUGACAUAGCCUGAGACAGUUAACAUCCUUCCUUUCAUAUCCACUUUCCUAAGCUAAGAAGAGUAGAGAAAGUAUUUGCUUGGCUGUAUUCAGCAUCUUGUGUCUCACAGGCUACAAUUCUUUGGUAAAUUAUGCCACUAAUUGUUUAGCCAUCAGGGAAAACUGGUCUUUUAUAACAUUUUCCUUUUCUGAGUCUCCCUAACACAAUGAAAAGGCCCUAGUGUCCAGACGAGGAUUUAAAAAGUGGAGUCUAGGGAUAAGUUUACAAUGCUUGGGGAAGAAAAAGGAUACCCCACGAGUGAGAAGGCUGAGGCAGGAGGGGUGCUUGAGCCCAGGAGUUCGAGGUUACAGAACAACCUGGGUAGCUGAUGCAGUGGAAGACAUCACCUAAGGGAUUUUAUUAUCUUUUGUGAGUAAUGGAAGACUGGCAUGUAGAAUAACAAGAUUCAAAUAUGACCACAAUCAAAGGCACCUGAGCAAAGAAACACGCCCAGGCCCUUCCGAGUGGUUGAGGCUUGAAAAGUAAAGGCAGAUAGUGGAGAGUUUUUAAAUAUGAGACAAGAGUACUGGGUGGUGGCUAGGACCAUGGGGUCUCACCUGGCUCUGCCACCACCCCUCCUAGUGACUUUGAGUAAGUAGGUCACUCCACUGUUUGUGCCUCAGGGUGAUUAUCUGUAAAAGGCAAAUACAAUAGUACUUUGCGGAGUUUUGUGAGGAUUAAGUAGGAUGAUAUGAGUAAGCACUUAAAAUGGUACCUCACCUAUAAUGAGAGCUUAAAAAAUAUUAGCUGUUAUCAUUAUUAUAUUAAGAUGUGAACAGAGCUCACUGGGGAGUCAUCCUAAAGUUAAGACCCAAAGGCUCAGAAGGCUUUUAAAUAAAUUAGCUGGAGGAAAAAAUAGAUUCCUUGAAAAAAUUCAGGAAAUUUCCCUUUAAAAAACAAAAAGGCUUAGUUACAACCCCCACACACCUGCUGGCAGGUGGAGCCAGUCACAGCAGGAGAAGGAAGAUGCCUGGAGCUUCUCAGGAGCAUGGCUCAGACCUCCUCAUGUCUUCUCCCACACGAUUUAAAUUUAGAAUCCUAUUCAGAGGACAAUUAACCAAAGCUAAGUAUACUGUCGUGCCUAGGGUCAUGAACUAGAACCAAGCCAACUUGGCCUUUAUUGGAACAGUGAACUUGGGGCUCCAGCUCUUGAGCCAGCAAGCAAAUGACCUGUUGACUUAAGCAAGUUUCAACUUUCACCCUCAUCUCAGAGCUCUGGUAAGGAUUAGAACAACUCGAGUAUCUUUACAGAAUGACCUGUAAUCUGCAAAGUGCUUUUAAUUGAGAAGGAUGAUGUGUUACAUGUUCUGUUAUGCUCUUUACCCAGGUCUUUCAUCUCUGAAGAAGGCGGUGGGAAACAAAUGUUAUUUCUCCUCUUCAUACUCCUUUUCUCAUUUAUUCUGCAGAACAUUUCAAAGCAACACCCAGGAACCUUCAGAAUGGUAAAAAAACAUUGAUGCUUAGCUAUGAGGCAUGAGGCAGGAGGAGUAAUACAAAGUGGACCUUUGCCCCAGGAUGAUGACUGAGGUAUGACUAGAAGGUUCUUCAUCCUCUCAAAGAGCAAACUUUUGUGGCAGUAACACAACCAGGCAAGAUGAGAGAAGCAGAUCAAAGAAACUAAAAACAGAGUAAGUGGUUAAAUUAUUUAUGAUGAUGCUGCAGCUGUAUUGAUCAGAGGCAGAUUUCUCUCUUAACCCUACUUUCCUUGUACCUAUAGAAGUUGUCAUCGCCCAAAGAAUUUUUGACCUAAUGUGAAAGUGUGGGGGUUGAUGGAGAGAGAAGUGGGGGGAGGGAGUGGGUGAAUAGCUAGUCAGGACCUUAGUUAAGAGAACACUGGUUAUCCAAUAUGGUUCUACCAUAUCUAAUGACAAACUAACUGAUGAUCUCCACAUAUCUCAUUUCCUAGGAAAGAAAUGGUGUAUCAUUUCACUGUGUACCCUGCAGGGAAAUAAAGGUUCUGCCCUACCUACCAAGAUCAUAUUGCCGUAGCAUCAAAAAGCCCCAUACAAAAUAAAAGCUUUCAAAACACAGCAUGGUAUUAAAAGGACAUCUGUAUUUUAAAAGUCUCGUUUAUUUUGUUUACUGCUGAAUCUCCAUUGCCAGACACUGCCAGGCACACAGUAGGUGGUGACUUAUAUUUAAUGGACUAUUUAAUGAAUGAAUAAUAUUGGCACAUUGCGAUUCCGUAGAUCUAGUUGAGAUUCAGGCACAGAGGGACAUGAAGGCCAUGUGCUCAACAGCAUGUCUUAGGAGGCCACUGGCUCCUGUGAUAGCCUGGGCUGGCCAUCCUAGGCUUGUUCCUGGGCAAAGUCUUGCUUGCUAGAGAAAUAUCAUCCCCUGAGAAUGAGGAUAGCUUUAGGAUAUGUGCACACUGUUCUAAUUCUACCAUUUGAGCAACUCUAAGACAAGGAGUGAUCCUUUGUUGUGACACAAACAAUCCCAAGGAAUUUUGUUGCUCUCUUUAGGCCAAAGAUUGUGUGUAAUAAAUUUCUGGAGAAAACACACUGUUAAGGCUGGGCAUGGAGGCUCAUGCCUGUGAUCCCAGCACUUUGGGAGG